rnacentral:rRNA from 1 species
UACAGGGGGUGCAAACGUUGCUCGGAAUCAUUGGGCGUAAAGCGCACGUAGGCGGUUCGUUAUGUCGGAUGUGAAAGCCCUUGGCUUAACCGAGGAAGUGCAUCCGAAACUGGCGAGCUAGAGUCCGGAAGAGGAGAGUGGAAUUCCUGGUGUAGCGGUGAAAUGCGCAGAUAUCAGGAAGAACACCCGUGGCUAAGGCGGCUCUCUAGUACGGUACUGACGCUGAGACGCGAAAGCGUGGGGAGCGAACAGG